CUCUAAAAAUUCAACAACAUGUUUAGGAGCAUUAGCCAUUUUAUCUAUAAGUUGUAAAUCUGCAAAACUACUUUUUCCCACUAGUUUCGCAACUUCCGCUUUAGACCUCAAAUAGGAAUUUAGCAAUUCGACUUCUUCAACUGUUCCUUUAUGACCUUCCAUGUAAAUUUCUUUCCUGACGUCGGGAUUUGCUACACUAAUCAAGGCCUGUGUACCUUCGUAUCCAACAGUUGGAAUCAUAAUAAAGUUUUUGUCAUUCUUAGAGAGUGAGCGUACAAAAUAUGGGUCCGAACCAGCCAG